rnacentral:rRNA from 1 species
CCAGACUCCUACGGGAGGCAGCAGUGGGGGAUAUUGCACAAUGGGGGGAACCCUGAUGCAGCGACGCCGCGUGGGUGAAGGAGUGCUUCGGCAUGUAAAGCCCUAUCGGCAGGGAAGAAGGAGGACGGUACCUGACUAAGAAGCCCCGGCUAACUACGUGCCAGCAGCCGCGGUAAUACGUAGGGGGCAAGCGUUAUCCGGAUUUACUGGGUGUAAAGGGAGCGUAGGCGGCCUGCCAAGUCUGAUGUGAAAGACCGGGGCUCAACCCCGGGGCUGCAUUGGAAACUGGCAGGCUGGAGUGUCGGAGAGGCAGGCGGAAUUCCUAGUGUAGCGGUGAAAUGCGUAGAUAUUAGGAGGAACACCAGUGGCGAAGGCGGCCUGCUGGACGAUGACUGACGCUGAGGCUCGAAAGCGUGGGGAGCAAACAGGAUUAGAUACCCCGGUA